rfam:Schistosoma haematobium scaffold1585_17, whole genome shotgun sequence.
AUCCAUCUGACGGGUCGUAAAUAGGACGAAACGUGAGUCCUGGAU